UACGUAGGUGGCAAGCGUUGUCCGGAUUUACUGGGCGUAAAGAGCGCGCAGGCGGUCGGUCAAGUCGCGUGUGAAAGCCCCCGGCUCAACUGGGGAGGGUCACGCGAUACUGAUCGACUCGAAGGCAGGAGAGGGAAGUGGAAUUCCCGGUGUAGUGGUGAAAUGCGUAGAUAUCGAGAGGAACACCAGUGGCGAAGGCGAGUCUCUGGACGACUCCUGACACUGAGGCACGAAAGCUAGGGGAGCAAACAGG
rnacentral:rRNA from 1 species